CCACCCUCUCCAGCUGCCCAAUGGAUGGUUGUGGCUUGGGCAGCACAGUGGUGAGCUGGCACCGGACCCCAGCUCAGAAAGCAGGCUGAUGUUAAUGUGGGUAACUCUGAGCUGAAAGCUGGAAAAUAAC
rnacentral:snoRNA from 1 species